AAAAGAUAAAAAGUACGAAAGAAAAAUACACCCCAUUUACAUGUAAAUUGAUUUUUUUUUUGUUGCAGUGAGAAGUCAGCGCAGGAACUAAAUGCAGGACUGAACAAGCAGGAGGUCAGUGCAGAAUACUAAUGAACUUCAUGUCACAAAAACAAAACCUGAGGCGCUGCCAAAGCAGCGAGUCGGCCGACAGAAAACUUGCAACAUGAAGUUAGACGCCUGCAGGAAAACAAGGCUGUGCAGCCAGAAAGAGAGGAUUUUAAAAACCGCUGAACGAGGAACCGGGAGGAUAAAGCAGCGACACCAGGCUCGGUUUGGAGCUCCAAAAUCAGAAGGCAGAAACUGAACAACCACUGCAACAUCACAGCUCACACACAGAGAGAAAGUGCUGCGGGACUCUGCGUGGACCUCCUGCUGCAUCAGAGAACCUACACAUAUUCCCUCUGACUGCACUGUUAAAGCCUGACAUGAGGAGCGAGCAGCUAUGAAACGCACACAGACGUGUCUGUCUUCCCGGAUAAGAAGCAGCCGUCUGCCCGUCAGCGGCGCCUGGACAAGAGACACUUUCUGAAAGUCAAAGACGCAAUCAUGUAAAUCAGGUCACAGUUGAGGUUCCCAGCCUGUAGAAUCGGAAAUACAGAAAGAAACAGAGCCAGAUGACAACCAGGGAACAAUUAUUAGGUAACAUGCAGAACAUAAAGACUUCGACACAAUGGCUGUACAGCAACUUCAUACUAAGUGACAAAAUCGGUUCUCAUUAGCUGCUUUUCCGUUACAAAACUUUCUCUAUAUUCUCACACAUGUUCACAAUUGCGGUAAUGAGAAAGGCCGAUAAAAUCCCACGUGAAUAAGUUUCUUCAUGCAAUAAGUCAUUAAAGAAACAUGAACCUCCAGCUA